rnacentral:tRNA from 1 species
AUAUAAGAAGUAAAGUUAUUACUUUUAAUUUCGACUUAAAUAUAGAUUUUAUAAAAAAUCCUUAUAUA